rnacentral:rRNA from 1 species
AUGUUUUGUCUUUACUCAGACUUUUGCCGAUUUUCACAGGCUAAUGACAAAUUUUGGAAAGAAAAAUAUGAUCACGAAGCUGCAAAGAGAGCUAGGAAGGCCAAGAGAGCCGCCAGGAAAGCCGCCGUCAAAAAGAAAGGAAACAAGAGCAGCGCUUCAGACUUGCUUCGACUAGAAGAUACCUCUGAGUCGGAGGUAGCCCUUGACUCUCUAGGCUCCUUUUUUAACCACCUUAUUGACACUGAUUAUCAUCAGGAGGACACGAGAACGAGUAACAGAGUGGAUGAAGAGGUAACUAUUAUUUCCUCCGACUCCGAGCCUUUGCCAAGAUAG